AUGGUGAGCGCCGCGCCGUCGCCGGCAGGCGGGCCGGACCGGACCGGACUCGGUUCUCACUGUGUCCGUCCUGCAGGUGACGGCCGUGCAGCUCAUUGCGGACGGAACGGCUCCCAGAGUCCCCCAGACGGAGGAGGGAGCCAGCUACGAAGGCAUCCAGAAGAAGUCCAACGCCAAGGUAACACCUCGCCCAGCCCGCUGAGGCCAUCCACAACUGGAUCCGCGGCCACGACAAAGUCCCCGGUGCCUGGACCGUCAUCGAUGGACAGCCCGUCACCCUGUACGGCUCGUCCAUGCUGGGGGGGUCCGUCCCCGCCGGCCAGGCCCUGGAGCUGGAAGGGGCCUCUCAGCCCGGCCUGGGUCACCAAGAGCGGCCUGGUCCUGUACGGCGCCGACGGCAAAGAGCUGUGAGUCCGGAGUCCCGUACUACUAAACAAACAUCCGAGAGCGGCGCGCCGGCCGGCGUGACCUGGAGGGUUAUUCAAACAAACACAGCCGGCCCGGCCUGUCCCCGUCCCAGGCCGGCCCCGUCCCAGUCCCCCGCCCAGCCCCGGCAGUUUGUUUAUGUGACCCUGUUCCGACAGCUCCUGGUGAAGAACCUGCAGUUUGA
rnacentral:lncRNA from 1 species